rnacentral:rRNA from 1 species
UACAGAGGUCUCAAGCGUUGUUCGGAUUCAUUGGGCGUAAAGGGUGCGUAGGUGGUGACGCAAGUCUGGUGUGAAAUCUCGGAGCUCAACUCCGAAAUUGCACCGGAUACUGCGUGACUCGAGGACUGUAGAGGAGAUCGGAAUUCACGGUGUAGCAGUGAAAUGCGUAGAUAUCGUGAGGAAGACCAGUUGCGAAGGCGGAUCUCUGGGCAGUUCCUGACGCUGAGGCACGAAGGUCAGGGGAGCAAACGGG